rnacentral:rRNA from 1 species
CCUACGGGAGGCAGCAGUAAGGAAUAUUGCGCAAUGGGCGAAAGCCUGACGCAGCGACGCCGCGUGGGGGAUGAAGGUCUUCGGAUUGUAAACCCCUUUCGGGAGGGAAGAUGGAAUGAGCAAUCAUUCGGACGGUACCUCCAGAAGCAGCCACGGCUAACUUCGUGCCAGCAGCCGCGGUAAUACGAAGGUGGCAAGCGUUGUUCGGAUUUACUGGGCGUACAGGGAGCGUAGGCGGUUUAGUAAGCCCUUUGUGAAAUCUCCAGGCUUAACCUGGAACAGUCGGAGGGGACUGCUAAGCUAGAGUACGGGAGAGGAGCGCGGAAUUCCCGGUGUAGCGGUGAAAUGCGUAGAGAUCGGGAGGAAGGCCGGUGGCGAAGGCGGCGCUCUGGAACGUUUCUGACGCUGAGGCUCGAAAGCGUGGGGAGCAAACAGGAUUAGAUACCCUGGUAGUCCACGCCUUAAACUAUGAAUACUAAAGUGUCGGCGGUUUACCGCCGGUGCCGCAGCUAGCGCAUUAAGUAUUCCGUCCUGGAGGUACGGCCGCGAGGUAGAAACGUACGAAAGGAAAGUUAGACGGCGUGAGACGUUGCCGAACGGACGACGACGAGGGGAGGAGGG